rnacentral:rRNA from 1 species
GACGAACGCUGGCGGCGUGCUUAACACAUGCAAGUCGAACGGAAAGGCCCUGCUUUUGUGGGGUGCUCGAGUGGCGAACGGGUGAGUAACACGUGAGUAACCUGCCCUUGACUUUGGGAUAACUUCAGGAAACUGGGGCUAAUACCGGAUAGGAGCUCCUGCUGCAUGGUGGGGGUUGGAAAGUUUCGGCGGUUGGGGAUGGACUCGCGGCUUAUCAGCUUGUUGGUGGGGUAGUGGCUUACCAAGGCUUUGACGGGUAGCCGGCCUGAGAGGGUGACCGGCCACAUUGGGACUGAGAUACGGCCCAGACUCCUACGGGAGGCAGCAGUGGGGAAUAUUGCACAAUGGGCGGAAGCCUGAUGCAGCAACGCCGCGUGCGGGAUGACGGCCUUCGGGUUGUAAACCGCUUUCGCCUGUGACGAAGCGUGAGUGACGGUAAUGGGUAAAGAAGCACCGGCUAACUACGUGCCAGCAGCCGCGGUGAUACGUAGGGUGCGAGCGUUGUCCGGAUUUAUUGGGCGUAAAGGGCUCGUAGGUGGUUGAUCGCGUCGGAAGUGUAAUCUUGGGGCUUAACCCUGAGCGUGCUUUCGAUACGGGUUGACUUGAGGAAGGUUAGGGGAGAAUGGAAUUCCUGGUGGAGCGGUGGAAUGCGCAGAUAUCAGGAGGAACACCAGUGGCGAAGGCGGUUCUCUGGGCCUUUCCUGACGCUGAGGAGCGAAAGCGUGGGGAGCGAACAGGCUUAGAUACCCUGGUAGUCCACGCUGUAAACGGUGGGUACUAGGUGUGGGGUCCAUUCCACGGGUUCCGUGCCGUAGCUAACGCUUUAAGUACCCCGCCUGGGGAGUACGGCCGCAAGGCUAAAACUCAAAGGAAUUGACGGGGCCCCGCACAAGCGGCGGAGCAUGCGGAUUAAUUCGAUGCAACGCGUAGAACCUUACCUGGGUUUGACAUGGAUCGGGAGUGCUCAGAGAUGGGUGUGCCUCCUUUGGGGUCGGUUCACAGGUGGUGCAUGGCUGUCGUCAGCUCGUGUCGUGAGAUGUUGGGUUAAGUCCCGCAACGAGCGCAACCCUUGUUCACUGUUGCCAGCACGUUAUGGUGGGGACUCAGUGGAGACCGCCGGGGUCAACUCGGAGGAAGGUGGGGAUGACGUCAAGUCAUCAUGCCCCUUAUGUCCAGGGCUUCACGCAUGCUACAAUGGCUGGUACAGAGAGUGGCGAGCCUGUGAGGGUGAGCGAAUCUCGGAAAGCCGGUCUCAGUUCGGAUUGGGGUCUGCAACUCGACCUCAUGAAGUCGGAGUCGCUAGUAAUCGCAGAUCAGCAACGCUGCGGUGAAUACGUUCCCGGGGCU